rnacentral:rRNA from 1 species
GACGAACGCUGGCGGCGUGCUUAACACAUGCAAGUCGACGUGAGUGGCGAAGGGGUGAGUAAUACGGGGGUAACCUGCCCUCCUUGUUGGGAUAAGGCUUGGAAACGGGGUCUAAUACCGAAUAAAGGGGGAUGUGCUCGCGGCGUAUCGGCUUGGUGGUGGGGUAAUGGCCUACCAAGGCGUUGACGGGUAGCGGGCCUGAGAGGGUGACCUGGGACAGUGGGACGGAGAUACGGCCUACAGGAGUACGGGAGGGGGCAGUGGGGGAUAUGGGACAAUGGGCGAAAGACCGAUGCAGCGUCGCUGCGGAGGGGAUUAAGGCUGUCGGGUUGUAAACCUCUUUCGGUAUCGAACGGGUAGGUGGAGAAGAAGCGCCGGCUAACUACGUGCCAGCAGCCGCGGUAAUAC